rnacentral:rRNA from 1 species
AGGUAACCCGUUAAGCAAGCCGCCUGGGGAUUACGGCCGCAAGGCUAAAACUCAAAGGAAUUGGCGGGGAGGCACACAACCAGUGGAACAUGUGGUUCAAUUCGAUACAAACCGAAGAACCUCACCAGGGUUUGACAUGCAACUGCAAGCGCACGGAAACGUGUGACCUUCGAGGGUGUUGCACAGGUGCUGCAUGGCUGUCGUCAGUUCGUUCCGUGAGGAGUGCCCUUAAGUGGGACAACGAACGCAACCCCUAUCCUAUGUUACAAGUGUCAUAGGAAACUGCCCUGCCGUUUGGCGGGGAGGAAGGCGGGGCAGACGUCAAGUCAGCAUGGCCCUUACGCCCUGGGCUACACACAUGUUACAAUGGACAAAACAGCGAGCUUUGCAAGCCGGUAACGGUGAGCCAAUCUCUUAAAUUUGUCCUCAGUGGGGAUUGAGGUCUGCAACCCGACCUCAUGAACGUGGAAUUGCUAGUACUCGCGGGUCAGCUAUACCGCGGUGAAUACGUUCUUGCCUCUUGCACACACCGCCCGUCAAGCCAACAAAGUCGUGGGCAUCGAA